CUAGUCUUCUUGAUUUAAAUUCUGUGGAGCUCAAAUAGACAACAAAGCUUUGUGGAACUGAUUAGGUAUUAGCAUAAAUAUCUAGCCUUUAUCAUGUUGAGCCUCCUCAAUAAAUAUUACUCUCUAUUUUUAUAUUUUCAUUUUAUAUAGCAGAAAGAAUAUUUAUUUUAUUUUUAUGCCACCACAGUGAAUGUACUUACGGGGUUUUAUGCCACUCGUAUACUCAUAUGGGGCUUACUGUUUUUAACAUUUUUAUUUUCUUUUAGGAUAGUACGAACAUGAUUAACUAAACAAACUAUUUGAAAUAAUUGAAAGGAAAAAGAUAACUACCAAGUUUACCUCUUGGCAAGGCGUUCGGUGUUUUUUAGUCCUCCGAACGGGACUCUCCGUUUUCUCAGUUGUCGUGGGAUUCGUUGGGUGGCGUAGUCGGUGCUUCCGGCAGUGCCUCUUCUUCACGUAUAGUUAUCUUCUCUCUCCACACCUGACUCGGUGCUACGGUCUCCUCAGGAUAAUUCUGUUCAAGCUGUAUGUCUUCAGAUCUUAUCACUUCUCCUUCAUAAUCUGCCCAUCUGUCCUUGAUGAUUUGCCUCUUCUGGUUGCGGUUGCGUCGUCUUCUUCUUGUCCUGACCUGCUUAGAGUCUUCAACAAUAUAAUUAGGGUCAGUAAAAUAGCAGCGUACCUUCUAUGAGGGGAGGUGCAUGUGAACUUCUCUGGUUCCAAUGUAGAUGAUUGCUUUAACGGUGCUGGGGAAAGGUCAUCCAAGGAUGAUGGGUGGAUCGUACUCGUCUUCUCCCAUGUCAAUAACCUAAAAGUCUGUAUGGACAAAAUGAUCGUCUAUUUUGAUAGGGACAUGAGUUACUAUACCUUUAACCUCUAGAAAUGUCUGAUCUGCCAUCCGGAGCUGAAUGUAUGUCGG
rnacentral:lncRNA from 1 species